rnacentral:misc_RNA from 1 species
AAGUCGUAACAAGGUUUCCGUAGGUGAACCUGCGGAAGGAUCAUUAUCGAAUGAAUCUAGAGUUGGUUGUCGCUGGCCUCUUCGCGGAGGCAUGUGCACGCCUUCUCUUUCAUCCACACACACCUGUGCACCUGUGAGACGGGGAGGCCUUUCUUUAGAAGAGGGGGGGUUUCCGUCUGCCAAUACACAAACUCAUAUAUUGUAAUCUGAAUGUAAUUGAUGUAACGCAUCUAUAAACUAAGUUUCAACAACGGAUCUCUUGGUUCUG